rnacentral:rRNA from 1 species
UACGUAGGGUGCAAGCGUUAAUCGGAAUUACUGGGCGUAAAGCGUGCGCAGGCGGUUUUGUAAGGCUGUCGUGAAAUCCCCGGGCUCAACCUGGGAAUGGCGAUGGUGACUGCAAGGCUAGAGUUUGGCAGAGGGGGGUAGAAUUCCACGUGUAGCAGUGAAAUGCGUAGAUAUGUGGAGGAACACCGAUGGCGAAGGCAGCCCCCUGGGUCAAAACUGACGCUCAUGCACGAAAGCGUGGGGAGCAAACAGG